UACGUAGGGCGCAAGCGUUGUCCGGAAUUAUUGGGCGUAAAGAGCUCGUAGGCGGUCUGUCGUGUCUGCCGUGAAAACCCGAGGCUUAACCUCGGGCCUGCGGUGGAUACGGGGCAGACUAGAGGUAGGUAGGGGAGAAUGGAAUUCCCGGUGUAGCGGUGAAAUGCGCAGAUAUCGGGAGGAACACCGGUGGCGAAGGCGGUUCUCUGGGCCUUACCUGACGCUGAGGAGCGAAAGCGUGGGGAGCGAACAGG
rnacentral:rRNA from 1 species